GAGAUUUAUCGUAGUUCGGCUUUUUUCUAAGCCUUUGUUCACUCUCCUAGUGACCUCAUUGGGAUUUGAUUCACUAUUCUUUAAAUAGCAUUAUAACAUUUAACUUCACGGGAGUUGGACAAUUGUUUACAAACUAAAUGAUUUACCUCCAACCACUCCACCAACUAGCGAAAACUCCAGUACGGUCAAACCUAAACUCUACGUGAUUUUCACCUCAUAUCACUCACAAAAGGAAAACACUCUCUACAAGAGCAAAAACAAGGGAAUGACAAACCUUUUACAAUGAAAGCACAAAAUCAGCGCUCUCAAUAUGAAGCUCAAAGAUAAAACCUAGAAAGCUCACAACAAAAGAUUAUCUUUCUUUGAGUAUAUCUCCUCUUGUCACUUUAGCCUCGUGUUUAUAGACUUGAAAAUAUAGCUAUUGAAGCUUGAGAUCUUUUUACUAAUCGAUUAGGAGGAUUUGCAGCCCAACAGACACUUGCCGUUUAUAACUUCAACGAACACUUUCCUUUUAUGAAUAUCUUUCACGUUGUGGAAAUCCUUAACAUCAUAUUCCAUAGAGUUUUAAUCUAUCAAUCAAGAAAAUCUUACUUUCUUGGUUUCUGUUGGAAUGUCCCAUAUCGUCCA
rnacentral:lncRNA from 1 species